CUGGAUGUGGCGAAGGACACACAAAUGCAGUCAUUGAGUGUGAAAAUUAAAGGUAAAGCAGAGGUUUGCUGGACAGAACGUCAUGGUCAAACAACUGUUGUUUACUCGGAUAAGGAGAAGUAUUAUUCAGUGGAGAGGUUUUUCGUUAUGGAGGACAAAACACAUGGUAAUGACCAUGAGAUGCUGAACGAUCCCUCCGGACAGCCGUAUUCUUUGGUUUGUUGUGCCAGGGCGUCACGUUUACCCAUUCAUCCUUUCAGUUGCCUUAACAGU